GCUGAGCAAGCCAGGAGGCAACAUCAGGCUGAGCUGCUCCUGAAACAUUUUGGAGAUAAGGUUCCUCACUACUCUGAAUUAAAUUCAGGCUGCUUCCUCCUCCUUGCUGCCUCGGUGCCAAGAGGAGCAGCACUGAGAGGACAGCAGUUUCCCCUACCUGGUGCCACAGCUGUCCAAAGGAGAAAGUGAAAAUCCUGCUCAGCCUAUGGACAGUCCAAUUCAUGUGUAAGAGCUACAAGUGGAUGCAGCAUCUAGGGCAGAUGGAAUCUUUAGAUAAUUUAGCUGCCAGCCUCCAACAAGUUACUACUGCACUUGUGCAACCCUAUCCUCCCUAACACAGAUUACAGCUUGUCUUAAUUUGGUUGAUUUUCACAAAGAAAACAAAAGACAUUCCUGACACCAGCGCAACAGAAAAUAUAUAAUAUAGAAGUAAUUGUACUAGACCGCAGUAUAGCUUUUAUACCCUAUCCUAAAUUAACAAGCCUGGGACAGCAUCAAAACUAAACUGAGACAAGACAGCAAAUGUACGGAACCAGGAAUCUGCAGCCAACUGUACCUUGGUGAUACAGUUGCCAACACUGCAAUGACUAACAAUCUUGCUUGGAUAGUGAAUAUUCAUAAAGCAACAUUCCUGAAAAAGCCCAAGUGGAAAUACAUGCAAGUUUGUUAGAAAAAUAUUAACCACAGUGACCAAGGGAAAAAUACUAACUCACCUUGGAUCAAGACCAACUCCAACUGUUUCUGUAAACAGAGUUCACUAUUUCUGCAGCAACAGGUGUGAGAUUACAGCAAAAGAUCAGUUUCCCCUCUGCCCCACUCCACCAGCUAAGAAAACAGGUUUUAUUUUGUUUUUAAAGAAGGUGCUUAUAUCAACCAGAAACUUCAGGAAUAUCAGAGACCCCAAAUAGUUCACACUAAAAUAUUUUUCAAUACAGAAUUAGUCUUCAGUUAUAAAGUUAUUAGGUUAUUUGCAUUUUUAAGAUAGUUUCACAAUUAAGUGAAACCACUUUGUGGUUUUUAUCCUCCCUACUGACUACAUGUUUUCAUCUCGAUAGUUUCUAAAAAUAUGCCACAACUAGAAACAAAAAUCAUUUAUUAAAACCUGAAUGAAAAUACAUACCACUUGCAUGUUUUGUUAUCACUUAUGUCAACAAGCAAUAUGAUGAUACAAGCCAAUAGCAACUGCCCUCUUACAAAGAAGCACUCCUAGAAGGAAUCUACUUUCCUUUAAAUAAAAGGGAAUGAACCUGUGAACAACAUUCCCACUGCAUAGUUCAACUACGCUGUCACAUUAAGUAAUACAGGCUAUGGACAGACUCAAUUUCAGCCACGUUCAAGCAAAUCUACGGCACUGGAAAACAUGGCAAGAAGAGGGUCAUACAGGUAUUUCAGCCCCCUGCCUGGAGAAGUACAAAGUCACCUUAAAAGGUAAGCUCUCCAGCUUGGGGACAAUAAAGAGCUGUUCAUUGAGUCUCUACACCAUCAGAGAAGCCCAGUCAUUGACAGCCUACCUCUCCCCUGCCAGGGAAGGAGGUAAACUAUCAGUGAUCAGCUGGCAGCAAUCCUCUCUGCCACCCCCAGCAGUGCUACUGUCAGAACCCCAGCUCCUGCCAGGGCUCUUGCAACAGUGGCAAGAAUUCUUACUCUAAUCCUCACCCCACCAUGUGCCUACCCUGUUCCACCUGCUCUACUGAUCAGCAGAGUGGAUGGGGGAAGGGCUGGGAGGGAGGGGAAAUUUCUGCCACUCCUUGAACAGUUCCAGGACUCUUGCCCAUAGGAAGGGGCUAUCCCUUUAUUUGGCUGUCUUCUUUGAAACUCUGUAUUUCAUAAUCGCUAAUAAUUCCUUUCCUAUUAGUACUUCGGUAAUGAAAAUGCAAUUCACUGGAAACAAUCCUUCAUCUUUCCCACUAAUUUAGCUUAGUUAAUCCCAGCUUCAUGUUUCCCCCUCUCUUUCCAGUUCCUGUUGCGACAAAAACAGAGGGUCACAGAUCUGCUAGUCUGAAAUGCCCUGAAACCUACAGACCUUUCACUAUGCAGUGUAAAUUUUCUAUGGCUUAUGAAGUUUCUCUUCAUAUGAUGUCUUUAGUCCAGCUAAACACUUUUCCAUACCGUACUACUUUGCCUCGACAGGGUAAACCUACAGCGCCUUGAGCUCAAAUGCAGACGAAGCAUUUCCUUCAUCAGUAAGUGGGAGCAUCUACUGGUUAUAUGCCUAGAUUGGAACAGAAGUUAGUCAGGCACUCUUCCCCACUUCCCCUUAAAAAGGUAUCCUCUCCCCUCAGGUUAGCACCUCCCUGUCCCCGUAGGGGCCAUCUUACCUCUGUAAUUGUAUUUGCUUGAGUUCCAACAAUAUUUGCCCUCACUGAAAACCCAGCAUAGCUGCUUACUAAGAUCCAUCCUGACUCCCACAAAAUCUAUGCACUGUCAGUCCUAAUCCUGAUAUCACGCUUCAUUCCCAAACACACAGCAGCCAUCAACAUUUGUCUUAACCGACCUAUGCAAUAGUCCUAGGUUUGGGAUUAUGAAGGAUUUGUAACUGCCCUACAGUAAUUUAGGAAUGUAGUACAUUGACCUGGAUAUUGAUGUUUACAGUAUUAAUAUAGUGAGUUAAGUCUGGCAUACAAACAGGAAAGAAGAGAUGUAUCUACACAGCCGUUUAGCACCUGACACAAGACACAAUGCCAGAACUUCUGCUCUGGGGACUCUGGCUUUCAGAACUGGUUUGACCUGCCAAGCACAGGACAAGAAUCAUCUUCAAGAGACAAGCAGUAGUGAUUCAGAGAAACAGAAAGAUACAGAAGAAUUCACUGGAGAUUUACCAUCAGAGUGAAAGGCAGCUACCAGAUGACAAAUGCAGAUGGCAGCAGAGAUGCGAGACAAAUGGGCUAGAGUAAUAGCAGAACAGGUUGGGGAUGGGCAGAGAAGCAAGAUGCUUUCAAGUUGAUAAGACCAGAUGGGAUGGACCCGAGGGUACUGACAGAACUGGCGGAGGUAAUUUCAGAGCCAUUGGCUAUCCUUUCUGAGAAUUUGUGGAGGUCGGGUGAGGUCCCAUACAACUGGAAAAGGGCAAAUAAAGUGCCCAUCUUUAAGAAGGGAAAGGAGGAGGAUCUGGAGAAGUACACAUCAGUCAGCCUGACCUCCGUACCUGGAGUAGGUCCUCAAAUAAUCUAUCGUGAAGCACCUGGAAGGUGAUCAAGAGCAGUCAACAUGAAUGCACUUACAGCAAGUCAUGCCUGACCAAACUUAUCCUUUUAUGAUAAAGUGAGAGGCCUCUGUGGAUGAGGGGAGAUGAAUAAACCUGCUAUACCUUGACUUCAGCAAGACUUUUGACAUUGUCUCCCAUAAUAUUUUCACUAACAAGCUAAGCAAAGAUAUACUAGGCAAAAUACUAUAAGGUGGAUAGAUAAUUGGUUGGGUCACUGUAUUCAGUGAGUAGUCCUCAAAUGUCUAGUUGGGAGGCAAUAUCAAGUGGGGUUUUCCAGGAGUCUGUCCUGGGUCCAGUACUGUUCAACAUCUUAAUUACUGACUAACAAACAGCAUGCUAUAACAGCACAAUAAGUCUAAAGAAAGAGCCAUAUGCAGGGCUGUCCCGGGGGGGGGAAAAUCGGGGCGACCGCCCUGGGCCCCUCGCUUUGGGGGGCCCCCGCAUAGCCGGGUAGAGUGGCACAGCGACUCCACACUGCCGCCGGCUUCAUGUCCACCCCCGCCCCCCUCUGCACUCCCUGUCCCGACGCCAAAUCUGCCGCCAGCUUUCUUGUGUCCAGGGGCGGGGGCCCGCACAGGUUGAUUUGCGCUGGGCCCUGCAUCCUGCUCGGAUUGUCUCUUGCCAUAUGUUAAGCAAACCAAACAAAAUAACCUAGUAAUAGAUCAGUUAAUUACUGCAACUUUAUGAAUAUUAUUCUCAAAAUAAGUGUUUUAAAGAGAAACCUACAUUAUAAAAGUAUUUACCAUACCUACCCAAAUCCAAGACAACUUCGAAUUUUUAAGACACCACCUCAAAAACUAGAUUCUAUACAUGGAAAAUUAUAAAUGUGUUUGUUAUAAUUUGCCAUGUAUAUAAUCUAAUUAGUAGAAGGCUGUCUUAAAAUUCAUCCCCCUACCA